UACGUAGGGUGCAAGCGUUGUCCGGAAUUAUUGGGCGUAAAGAGCUUGUAGGCGGUUUGUCGCGUCUGCUGUGAAAUUUCGGGGCUCAACCCCGAACUUGCAGUGGGUACGGGCAGACUAGAGUGUGGUAGGGGAGACUGGAAUUCCUGGUGUAGCGGUGAAAUGCGCAGAUAUCAGGAGGAACACCGAUGGCGAAGGCGGGAUCCUGGGCCAGUACUGACGCUGAGACGCGAAAGCGUGGGGAGCGAACGAGG
rnacentral:rRNA from 1 species